rnacentral:rRNA from 1 species
CCUACGGGCGGCAGCAGUGGGGAAUAUUGGGCAAUGGAGGAAACUCUGACCCAGCAACGCCGCGUGAAUGAUGAAGGUCUUCGGAUUGUAAAGUUCUUUUCUAAGGGAAGAAGAAAGUGACGGUACCUUAGGAAUAAGCCUCGGCUAACUACGUGCCAGCAGCCGCGGUAAUACGUAGGAGGCAAGCGUUAUCCGGAAUGACUGGGCGUAAAGGGUGCGUAGGUGGUUUGACAAGUUGGUAGCGUAACUCCGAGGCUCAACCUCGGCACUACUACCAAAACUGUUGGACUUGAGUGCAGGAGGGGCAAAUGGAAUUCCUAGUGUAGCGGUGGAAUGCGUAGAUAUUAGGAGGAACACCAGUGGCGAAGGCGAUUUGCUGGACUGUAACCGACACUGAGGCACGAAAGCGUGGGGAGCAAACAGGAUUAGAUACCCUAGUAGUC